rnacentral:rRNA from 1 species
AUUGAACGCUGGCGGAAGGCUUAACACAUGCAAGUCGAGCGAGCGGCGGACGGGUGAGUAAUGUCUGGGAAACUGCCUGAUGGAGGGGGAUAACUACUGGAAACGGUAGAUAAUACCGCAUACCAUCAGAUGUGCCCAGAUGGGUUUACCUGGUAGGUGGGGUAAGGGCUCACCUAGGCGACGAUCCCUAGCUGGUCUGAGAGGAGGACCAGCCACACUGGAACUGAGACACGGUCCAGACUCCUACGGGAUGCAGCAGUGGGGAAUAUUGCACAAUGGGCGAAAGCCUGAUUCAGCCAUGCCGCGUGUGUGAAGAAGGCCUUCGGGUUGUAAAGCACUUUCAGCGAGGAGGCGUUACUCGCAGAAGAAGCACCGGCUAACUCCGUGCCAGCCGCCGCGGUAAUUC